CCUUUGACCUGCUCUGGCUAUUUAUGGCUCCUCCUGUAGACCUAAAUUCCUGGCUCUCCUUUCCAAGUCAGACCAGUUCCCCCCACUGGCCCCAGAGUUACAACAGCUAAUCUGGGGGAUCAGGUGCCAAGAUCCUGGCUCCUCCCCCUGCAGCUGCUACUACACGCUUUGGGGGGCUGGGUGCCCUGUCCCUUACCCCUACCCCUGUUGGGGAAGGUUCUAUCAAUGUCCUCCUGCACAGGAGGAAACUGGGCAGUGAGGUGUUUUGUUCAAGGUCACACAGGAGCUCAGUGAUGUGCUGGAGUUUAAACCUAGCCUUUCCCUCCUGCAUCUUAUGCUGCCUGGACCUCAGUAACAAGGAGAGCAGUGAACUGACAUUAACACAGUCCUGGCUGCUGGUCGGACAAUACCCUCAGCACCUGCACUUUAAUUCCUUCACUCCUCACAAGGAUGUUUGGGGUAGGUACUGUUAGAACGCCCAUUUUACAGAUCUUGGAUCUGAGACCUAGAGGUUAAGCGGCGUGCCACUAGUGAAUCAGAGCUAUUUGUUUCCAGUGUCAUGCUCUUGACCCCUUUGCCAUUCAGUCCCUACCCUACCAGGAUUCCUGAGGCCAGCUAGUGAGGAGGGGAAGAAGGAGCCAGAGCAGCUAGAGAGGCCCGACAGGAGCUCUUGCAGGGAGAGCAGUCUCUGGCAAGUAUUUGAUAUUGAGGGGUACAUGUGUGUGUUGGGGAUACAGGGAUAGCGACACCACAUGACUGUGAGUGAGGAGAGAAAGCUAACAGAACUCUCCCAGCAUUUUUCUGUGGGCUCCUGUCCCUGAAGGAUGGGUGAGACCCUGGAUAGUUGCAGCCAGCCACUCCCCGUCCCAUUUUUUCCAUGAUUAUUUCAGAAAACAUUCAGGGGCUCUCUUGGUGGAUGAAAGGGAGGGGAUGGGGUCAGGCCUGCCUGUUCCUUGGGCCUUGGCUAGAUGUGAAGCAGAGAGGCCAGGAAAAAGGCUAAUGGAAAAUAGAACCUCAGAGGAAAGUUUAAAUUCUCACUCUGAAAGAAGAUACCUUGGGGGUGCAUGGUUGGAGUCGGUGCU
rnacentral:lncRNA from 1 species